rnacentral:lncRNA from 1 species
AAUGAGACCUUUCAGCAUCAAGAUGCCAUGUGGUUUUAAUGAAAUCUGACAGGUAUCAGCUUUGGUGGUGAAUUUGGAUGUGCUGCUGGUAGUUGGUGCUUGCUGAAACCGAUCCAGAACGAAGCAACAUUUUUAUAGUGAUGAAAUGACUUCAGGCUUUGUCCUUAAGGGAUGAGAGAAGCACCUCAACAAAAGAGAGCAAAUGACUAGUACAGUUGACCUUUUCAGCCUUUGGAUUCUGAGUGCAUCUGACUCGACCAGACAGGUCUGGGGAAGAGAAAAAUUAACAGCAGAUGGAUUUAUGAAAAGAGGUUCCUUUGUUGGAGAGCAUGUUGCUGUGACAGUGAUAUCUGUAGAUGAUUUGUGA